rnacentral:lncRNA from 1 species
UUGACUUCAACUUUUAAUAUCUCUUUUAUGUCAACUUGCACCAAAAGUAUAGCCAAAAUCCUGAACUUGCUUGUCCUAGCCUCCAAAAGCUCAAAUGACUAAAAAAGCAAUCUUAAUCCCUAAUGUGGCCUUGGACAACCUUGUUGAAGCCCAUUGGAUAUGAUUUUUGGCCAAUAGAAAUAGAGAUUUUUAUCAUCUAUCUCCAUUCAUUUAUAUAGAUGCCUUAGUUUUUUUUUUGCUACCAAAAAUCUUCUUCAAUUCUUUCUCAUAUAAGAUUUAUAUAUUAUAUGUAUUUAACACCAAAUUAAAGAACCAAAAUAAAACUUUAAAGAUCACCAAUGUCUAAUAAAGAUGACUCUAAAUAUAUAAAGUUACUUCUAACAAAUCA